CCUUCUCUGGCAUAGCCGGAGUCAGAUUUCCAACAUCUCUAAUAGACCUCCUUGGAACUCCUUCAGUCAAAUCAAUGGCAUCCUUGACGACUGUGCCUCUAGGAUUUCACUAUGAGACAAAGUUCGUUGUUCUCAGCUACUUGGGACUUCUCUCUCAGGAGAAACAACAGGGAGUUCAACUAGACGUGGCUCCACAGUCCCUGCGUCCAGAUGUUUUAUUAAAACUUAAAUCUGAGAUUGAGGAAGGACUGAAAACCUUGGACAGAGAAGUUUCUGAAGCCUUCGCCAGCAUAGGCUUUGAGUGUCACACCUCACUAGUGUUUAGCCCUGCUAACCCUGAAAGCUCCGUAGAAGACUGCUUGGCCCAUCUUGGAGAAAGAGUGUCACAAGAUCGGAAAGAGUCUUUGCAGAAAGCAUCGCAGACGAUCCUCAGCCAGCCAGUGACAUAGGAGGCAUAUUGUGAAUGUACAGUGGAGACUGCAGUCCACGCCAGCGGAUGGAAUAAGAUUUUGGUGCCUCUGCUUUUACUACAACAAAUGCUUUUGGGAUUGACACGACGUGGUCAAGAGCCUUUGAGCAUGCUGCUACAGUUUGGUGUGAUGUAUCUGGCAGGACUGCACAGCAGAGUUCAUCAUUCAGCAAGGUGGCUGGGGCACUGUCUUUACUCUCGAGUCUGAGGAGGAAGAAUACCCUGGAAUCAUUGCAGAAGAUAGCAAUGACAUUUACAUACUGCCCGGUGACAACUCUGGACAAGUUUACUCCCCUUGAGUCUCCAACAGUGACACGUCUUGGCUUAGGAGAGCCUACCCAUCUCCCUGUCUGCUAGCCAGAGUUAGCACACAGAGAGCCUCCCGGUAUCCCUCGGGCCUGAGUUCUGGCAGCAGAUUGCAAUGGAUCCUGAAGAAGUGAAGAGCUUAGACAGCAGCGGGGCUGGGGAGAAGAGUGAGAACAAAUCAUCUAACUAGGACAUCCAUAGUGCACGUGGAGAAGGAGGAGGUACCAGAGGCAGCGUUCCUGGGAGCCGCUGCUCCCUUGCUCCCACAGGUCCCUACCGUGGAAGCUCCAGAAAUGACAGAGUUGAGAAAAGCAGCCCCGCUCCUGUUUGUGGAGCUUCAUGAGGAAGAGCUGGAAGCGUAACAGUGAGACCCAGUGCUGUGGACAGGGUGGAGGGGGCCUCUCAGCCUGAGGAGAAAGCUGGGAGCAGGAAAAAGGAGCCGCACUGGGGAGGCCACUACUGCCAGGGAUCAAAGAGUAGCCUGCCCGCCGAGGGCAAGGCUGUCCUGCUCUUCGGAGGGGCUGCUGCUGCAGUGGCCAUCCUGGCAGUGGCAGUUAGCAUUGCACUGGCUUUAAGAAAAAAGUAA